UACGUAGGGUGCGAGCGUUGUCCGGAAUUAUUGGGCGUAAAGAGCUCGUAGGCGGCUUGUCGCGUCGGAUGUGAAAGCCCGGGGCUUAACUCCGGGUCUGCAUUCGAUACGGGCAGGCUAGAGUUCGGUAGGGGAGAUCGGAAUUCCUGGUGUAGCGGUGAAAUGCGCAGAUAUCAGGAGGAACACCGGUGGCGAAGGCGGCCAUCUGGGACAACACUGACGCUGAAGCACGAAAGCGUGGGGAGCAAACAGG
rnacentral:rRNA from 1 species